UAAUACGUAGGGGGCAAGCGUUGUCCGGAUUUACUGGGUGUAAAGGGUGCUCAGGUGGAUUUUUAAGUCAGAGGUGAAAUCCCAAAGCUUAACUUUGGAGCUGCCUUUGAUACUGAAAGUCUUGAGUUUGAGAGAGGGCAAUGGAAUAUCUGGUGUAGCAGUGAAAUGCGUAGAUAUCAGAUAGAACACCAAUGGCGAAGGCAGUUGCCUGGCUCAAUACUGACACUAAAGCACGAAAGUGUGGGGAGCAAACAGGAUUAGAUACCCUGGUAGUCCACACCCUAAACGAUGAAUACUAGAUGUUGGUCUUUUUUAAGAUCAGUAUCCAAGCUAACGCAUUAAGUAUUCCACCUGGGAAGUACAAUCGCAAGGUUG
rnacentral:rRNA from 1 species